GCCAUGGUGGUGCAGUGGUCAGCACACCCAAUCCUGGUAACCCUUACAUUCUCUCGAAUUUCGCUCGUUUGCCUUGAUACACUCUCUCAGGGGUCGGGAGGUCGUUGGUUCGAAUCCAACUCACGGUG
rnacentral:tRNA from 1 species